rnacentral:snRNA from 1 species
GGAUGUGAGGGUGCUUUGGCUGACAUCUGUCACCCCACGGAGCACUGGGGUUGGCUUGCCUGGCUGACUGGCUAGGUGGCUGUCCCCAUCCUCCCUUACUGCUCCGUGAAGGCCUUUCUAGAAGCCACUCAGUCAGUCAAGACUGAUAACCUUUCCCAGCAUAGCAGGGCCUUCUUUUGGUCAAGGACAUAAAAUAA